CACACUCUCUCACACAGUCAGCGUAGUCCCACCUGGCCAGUGUUGUUGACUGUGUUUGUUUCUGUUUUGUCAGUGUGGAGCGCUUCAUGGAGCAGCCUGAGGUCCAUACCGGCCGCCUGUUGGUCGGGACGUUCGUCGCUCUGUUCUUCAACCUGCUGACUCUGCUGUCCGUCAGGAACAAGCCCUUCACCUACGUCUCAGAAGUGGCCAGCAGCAGUUGGCUUCAGGAACAUGUGGCAGAUCUGAGUCGAAGGUAAGAAGACCUGCAUCACUUUCUCUCACCCCUCCUCCUCUCUCUGUCUCUGUCUCUCU